GAUGAACGCUAGCGGCAGGCCUAAUACAUGCAAGGCGAAGGGGCAACAAUGUCACUGUCGUACGGGUGCGUAACGCGUAUGCAACCUACCUAUCACAGGGGGAUAGCCUUUGGAAACAGGGGAUUAAUACCGCAUAAAGCAGGGACUCCGCAUGGAGAUAUUGCUAAAGAUUAUCGGGUGAUAGAUGGGCAUGCGUCUGAUUAGUUAGUUGGCAGGGUAACGGCCUACCAAGACGAUGAUCAGUANGGGGCGUCAGAGCGUGGUCCCCCACACUGGCACUGAGAUACGAGCCAGACUC
rnacentral:rRNA from 1 species